rnacentral:rRNA from 1 species
AUCGCAGUCUGCAACCCGACUGCGUGAAGUCGGAAUCGCUAGUAAUCGCGGAUCAGCAUGCCGCGGUGAAUACGUUCCCGAGCCUUGUACACACCGCCCGUCACACCAUGAGAGUCGGGAACACCCGAAGUCCGUAGCCUAACCGCGAAGGGGGCGCGGCCGAAGGUGGGUUCGAUAAUUGGGGUGAAGUCGUAACAAGGUAUC